UUCCCAGAUCCUCCCACAGCUUAAGCUGAAAUGAUUGCUAAUAAGUGGCUCCUCAUCUUUCUACUGGCUGUGUUUAUCUUACUCCACCCUCAGAAAUUCCCAAAGUCCUCUGGGUUUUCCGGGAUUGUUAACAGUCAUCCACAGUAACACUGCAGAGAACUUCAGGAGCUCAAAAAUUAAUUGCAUCAUGUCCUGCAGAUUUGGAUACAGUUAGUUUGUUUAAAUAGUUUCUGUGAGGGGGUAUUUUUAUGAAGACAACUCUUGUGUUUUGUUGACCAGAUGUCCUACAUACAUCCUGGUUUACAGAGUCUUUGCUCCAAAUUUCUGCAAUUGAUGCUGUGUGUUUGUGGCAAAGGAAGACUCUCAAAAAGACAACCCAGUUGCAGGUCAGCAAACAGCUGGUCCUGUACAAAGACAUCUCAGAGUCUGGCUCAUUCUAUAUUCUGUAUCUGUACUUAAAGAAAGUCUCCCCAAAACCUUAAACUUCAAACUCGAAGAGCAUUUCACAAAAUCAUUAGUGUUAAAUCACUGUGACAGUUUUCUCAAUCUGUGAAACAAAAAUUCCUUUCUAAUAUGUACAAGUCUGUUCUAAGAAACCUGCAAAAACCCUUUCUAGGAAACAAGAUACCUCUGGUAACCUAGCUAUGUUGACCUAUAUUGGAGAGUGGAGUAGAGGAAGAUUUGUGUACAGUCAUCAGUGGAAAUUCCAUCAGCCCAAGGGCUAUUUCUGUAUGCUCAGACAUGCCUGAAGGUGUCUAAAGUCCAAGCAGUUCUUUUAGUCAUGGAGAUCAGUGCUGGAAGACAUGGUGGGAGGAAGGAUGCCCUCUGUUCUGGCUCCAAACAGAAUCUCAUGUUAAUGAGAUGGAUUUAAUUUCCCUGAACGGCACAUAUUGCACUAACCUUGUGCUGUUAGUACAAGUAAAUACUGAAAAAAUCUAUAGGUUUCAGGCUGUAAUCCAAGUUGCAAGUGAACCCACACCCACAGGAUUCAUUGCUGUUCACUACGUGCAGUCACACAGAAAAGUGUUUGAUUUUUUCAGUAUUGAUGUGAUGGAAACCAGGUGGCGAAACAUGGGUGAAUCAACUGUUGCACUGCAAGAUAAUGAAUUACUCUUACUCUCAGCUUCCCUCUAAACUGAGCUGAAAAUUUAAUUAUUUUUGGGAUGCCCACUCUGGAGUGAGCUUGUGCAAAAUGGUACAUUUCUUCCAUGCUCAGUAACCUCAAUUUAUUUACUCUUCUUCCAACUACUUACUUUGAAAUAUUUGUAUAUUUGCAAAUAUGUAAAACUUUCUCCUGGAACCAUCAAGACCAACUAUUGGGUGAAUUGAUUAAAUAAUUAUGUUAAUUACAUUUACUCAACUGAAUUCCUGAGGGAAUAAAGGAGUAGAAUCAUAGAAUUAUAGAAUCAUGGAAUGGUUUGGGUUGGAAGGGACCUUAAAGACCAUCUCACUUUCCCAUGGGUGGGGAGCCAUGGAGAGAAUAAGAGAAAUAUUAGUGUCAGAAAGUUAAUGUAUCUUACCUAGGUUUUAUUUCCACUUUCUUAUGGAAACUUUACAGAUGCUAUGUCAUAAAACCCACAAGCGCAGAUAGCAAGUGCUUUCUUGUGCUGUUAGUAAACCCUUUGUAAGAUCAAAUGAGGACACCAGAGACACAGUGGUACCAUGUGAGCUUUAGCUCCCAGUUGUGAUGCACUUGCAAAUUCUCACUGCUGUGAAAUGCACCUCUGCAAAAGCUGCUCAGAGUCAUGUGAAGAAAUCCAGAAUUUAGAAGGGAUCUUGGGAUUUGUCAGCCUGAUGUGAAAAUGCAAAAAUUGAUGGGCUACAGCCUGACUGCUCCCUAUGUUUUCCAUCCAACCAUCUACUGUAUUGAGACUAGUCUAGGCAGAUUCAUUUUGGCAGUGACAACAGAAGAUGUAAGUCAGGUAUAUUGGAUGGAUCAGUCUUGAUCUUCCCAAUGGAAGUGUGUCCUCCUGUGUACAUAACCUCAUAUCCCUUUGGGAUCCCAUUGCUGCAGAAUGGAACCCAAAAUAGGCAUUCUUGGUUCUUCUGCUAUUUGCUCCCAUGUGGCCGAGAAGUAACUCAAGGCAUUUUGCAAUAAUCUAUGCAGUGAGCAGAAGAACUAGUUGUUAUCUCUGCUUUUCUGGUUUUGCCUUUUUUUCUUUUCUUAUUUUCAAACUCACAAUGAAUUUGGUGCAUUUGGUAGUGGCUGUGACAAAAUGGGAAGUACAGUGGGAAUUUACAUUUAUAAGUACUUUCGUGACAUCCAUUUGAGAUGGCUGCACUUGAAUAUGAGACUUUAUCAACAGCACAAAUAUAGACUUGGAUAUGUGCUAUGUGAAUAUGAGACUUUACCAAUAGCACAAAGGAAGGAACAUCAGCCAGAACUACACAUCCAGAAACACGGAUCAGGGGAGGUCCAUGAAGUUGAUCUGGCAGAAAAGAAUGAUUUAAGUACAGCAAGUAGUUUGGGGUAUUUUGAGUAAAAAGUGCAAAACAGAAUUGAAAGUAUUGAUGAGAAUCUGAUGGUCAUCAGGCUAAUGUCAGUGAUGAGGGUAAAAAUCAGCCCAUUUUCUUCCGAGCUCCUUCUGAUGUGGCAGGCAGCUUUAGGCAUGCUGGGACCUAAGUGACAGUGGGAAGGACUGGAAACUCCUCUUCCGAGAUGUGGUGAGCUGAUGGUGCUCACAAGUCAUGUGGUGGUUUCUGCAUCAGAGGAAAAAUGUCACCCAUGCACAGGAACUGCAAAAACAAACAAAACCAAAUUUUUACAAGUAGUUGCGGAUUUAUAUAUUAAUAUCUUCCAUGAAAUGCACCUUCAAACCCAAGAAAUUAGUUAUCAUCACAAAGCCACAGCUGUUGAUAGGAUCCUUGUAGCCAAAGGUUUUACCUGGGCAUUUUUUACAGGUUUGUCUGGGAUAAAAAUGACCUGUGUAGUGACCUGUGACCUUCUUGUCUGUGUAGUGAAUCCUUUUGCCACCUUUGCACUUUAUUGUGAAUAAAAACAAAGUUGAACACUAGGGAGAUUUUUAUAAGGGUCUUAUACAAACUAAAUGUAUGAUUAUAUAAUUCCUAAGAAACAAAAUCCUAAAAUGUAGUUUGCUUAUGUGACCGUGUAUUAGGGUCCUUACAUCAUGCUUUCACAUUUUCUUUAGUUAUGUUUUGCUCAUUUUUCCCAUGAAAAAUUUGUUGAAUCUUUGUUUUGCUGAGGGUGGACCUCUCUUGGGUGGCAGUUGUUCUGUAGUAUUUCUAUCUUAUAAGUCAUUGUUUUGCAAGCUUAAUAAUCCUUAAAAGUAAUUUUUUUCCCAUGUAAUUUUGAGGUUUCUUUUACCAAGUAAACCAAACCCCAAAAUCCCAGGCAAUGUAUCUUGUGUAGUCAAAGGGACACCAGUGUAGUUGAGAACUCAGUGAACAGCACUGUAUAAGGCCAUAGAGAUUUCAAACAAAAAGUCAUUUCAUGUUUUCAGUCUUACUAAAUUUCUUUUUAUACUAGGUCCUAUUUUUAGAACCUAGUGACAUCUUCCAGAUGAGUCAGCAUCUCAGUCAACAUGGAAAUUUUUGUCCUGGUGAUUAAAUAUUGAUAAGUCUGUUGAGAAAAGAAAAUGACAGCUAACAUAUGAGGCUUCCCACAAAAGGGAAAAGAUGCAUCUUUUGGAAGUACACUAGAAAAAAAGUAUCACCUCCAUCUUGGUGCAACCAGUUGGAUUCAGCAAUGGAAAAAUACCUGCAGCUCUGUGGGAGCUGGUGAUGCACCCCAACUCCUCAAUGGCAAAAAUGCUGAGAGUCAGAGGUUAAGAGCCCAAUAGGAAUUUGUGAAGCAAAGUCUUAAGGCACUUUGUGGCUCCCCAGCAGCUGCAAGAAAACCUGCUUGGAAGAUUAAUCACAUCCUUCGGAAGUUUUCAACAUCUCUAGGUCAGAUGACAGGAACAUCAAUGUUUAGAAUUGCUAUGCUAUUUUUAAACAAACAAGAAGAGAGACCAUUUAUUUCUAACUAAUUUCAAACAACCAGGAUAUUUUUUUCCUCUGUGUGUCUCAAAUUGCUUUCCCCACAGAGCUAUGGAGAGGGCAGCACACAGCCCAUACCCAUCAGUGCACACUGAGCAGGCCAGGGCCCGUGGCAAUGAUUCCAUGGCUGCAAGCAAACUGAUUUGAAAACACAGAGGUGAGAAAUCAAAUAUGUAUCCAUGUCGGCUUGUUGUGUUAGGGGGAAAAAAAGGAGGAAUUUUCAGGUUGCUGUGAGGAUUUCAGUCUGCUUUGCCACACCUGAGCAAUGACAAAUGGGUUUCUAGAUCUCAUUUGAUUGUCUGAUAAACUACUGCAUUCCAAUACCUCUUACCCUUAGGAAAAGAGAAGUAGGUUCUGGGAGUAAGCGUGCUACUUUAAAGCAACCAACAGACAGUGCCUUUAGUAUCAUUAUCUGGAAGAGCCACAGGCAGCACAACAUGCCUUUUGCUUAAGUGCUGCUGGCUGGCAGCUCCUGCUGCUCCCGCUCUGCUCCUCUGGAAGGCAGAGAAAACAUUGCUCUCCAAGGAAUGGCUUGGUCUGUAUUAGGAAAAGAUCUGGAGAUCUCUUGUGUGCUUAAAGGCAGCUGCUUUAAUAUUCAAGAGGUAUUUUCAAAAUAUUGACAUAAAUGGAAAAUAAAAGCCUUCUGGAAAAGCACUUUGCUAUGGAGAGCAUCAUGUGCUUGCACGCGUCAGUGACCUGGGAGAGUUACCACUCCAGGGUGUAAAGAGUUUAGCUCAACAGAAACAUUCUUCAUGUCAUUAAAAAAGCCAACUCACUUUCUGUUGGUGUACCUAUUUAGGUUAUGUUUCUGGGUGCAUGUCUUUGCUUACCAACACUGGGGUUUUGGUGCCAUCUUGCCCGAUAUCUCAUCUCUGUGAGAUCUAAGAUGCCUCAUAUGCAAAUUCAGGGAGUACUUAGCAUCACUCCACUCCUCAGAUUUCAUCUUCCUCCUCUUCCAGAGGCUAUUAAGCAAUGCAAGUCUUUGCUACUGUUAAUUCUGGAUUUAAAUGCUGCUGCUGAAGCAUGCUCUUGUGAGCACUUAAUUGUUUCAUGCAAUGGCUUUUCCCUUUGACUGGAGUUAUCCAAACCCCUCAUCACUUUGGUUUUAUUUAUGCCCCCUUUUUGCACAUUCCAUCUUGCAUCCAUUCAUUGAGACAGGGAUUUGUUUCCCUUACAUCCAUUUUAUUAGACUAUACAGUCUAUUUUAUUCUCUUUCAAGAAAUAAUAUUUGAUUCAAAAUAUUAAGGAAAAUUCUAUUUAAUGGCUACUUGUGCUGUUACCUUGAUAAACAGUGAGUUUUCCCUGUGCAACAAACUCAGUGCUGAUGUUUCUACAGUACUUCUAGAAAACCAUAUUAUUAAGGCUCAGCUCUGAUAUUCAUACCUCUUUUACCUUUUUUUUGAAUGGUUUUCUAAAUUCUUAACCUUGUUAUUAUAAAAAUUUAAUGACGAAUCAAUUCUAUCUUUUAAUUAAACCAGCACAAAUAGGCAGCUGGCAGAUGGUAAUGGCAAGAAGGCAAAUGACAUCAAAAGCCCUGAUAAACUGGACUAAAGGGCUUUUUCUCUGCAACAAAAGAGCUUGUUUAAAAGGUGUUCCAUUCGAGUACAAGCUGAUAGAAAAUAAUGAAUAAAUGUGUGAGAUGAUAGAUAGUAAUAAAAAGUUUUAUAAAAGCAUUUCAGCCUGUGCUCUCAAUGGGGAUAUUUGUGCAGCUCUAUGACUUCUGAUGCUUUUACUGCAGUUGACUCUCUCCCAAUUGUCUGAAUGAGCUUCUGACAGCAGAUGGCAUCUUCCUCAAAACCAGAAAUCAAAAAGGGAUUGUACAGGAGGAAACAAGAUAGAAAGUUCAUUGCCUUGCUCUGGCGGUCUGCUGCUGUUGACAAGGUCACAUCAAAGAUCAAUGCCAAAAUUUGGCCAUGAGAAUUCUCUCUGCUCACACAGUUGGGGCACCAGCAGAGCAGCAGUAGCACCUGUGCACUCCUUGCAUAACUCCACCAGAAGUAAUUCAGAGAGUUAAUGGAAAUACCCGAUGGUCUGGGAUCUUGCCUGACCCUUGGUUGCCACCAUGAGGCCUGUCCUGCUUGCAAGGCUUCAAGGAAUUGCACUGUCUGGGAGGACAGGUGUGUUGCUGUGGCUUCGGGAGCCAUCAGCCUGCACUAACUGUAGCUGUACCCUUGCCAUUAAGGUAGGAAAAGAUAAAAUGGCAGAAGAGGAGGCUGGUGAUGGAGAAAACAAAGAACAAACAACUGCAUCUUCUAGGGUAACACAUUAAUCAUCGCUGCUAUGUCUAAUGUUGGCUGUAAUAUGGUACACAGUAGGGAGUCCCUUAGAACCACCAGUGAUUUAAUGGGGCAAAGAACGGGUUUAUUAACAAAUAACAAUAAUUACUGAGCUGCCGCUGUCCGUGGUGCUGGAGGUGUCGCCUGAGCCCCCGGGGACCAGCCACGCCCCAGGCCUGGCCAUGAUCGUCUCAUUUAUCUGGUCUUUGAAAACACCCGAGCAGGUGCACACCUGGUGGGAAGGGCCUCGAGCUUCCUGUGUAGUGUCAGGAUCGGGAGGGCUCGGAAUAGCUGAGAAAAAAGUGAAAGAUGCCUGCAGGGCUAGACAGAAAAAUUAAUUAUUCUUCUUCAGGCAUGUUUUUGCAUUCCAGGUCUAAAAGAACUAUCUUAAUGUUUAUAAAGUGUACUGAAAAAAUACCUUAACCCUCUCCACAUACAUUUGCUAUUUUAUUUGUCAUUUGUCAGCUGCAAUUUUAGAAAGUUAAAGUUGAGAAACUAACCCAGCUGAGAUUAACAGAGAGCCACUUUAAAGUCACUUUCUUCCAGAAUGUCAUAAUACAGUAAAACAACAAUCUCAAUGGCAGGAAAAUCCAUGAUGGAAGAGUUCACACACUUUUAGCUCUGGGGAAAUCCAACCAUGAGGUGGGAAACAGAUUUCGCAAGUUUCACUGUUAUCAAAAAGAAUUUCUUCUAAAUUGAUGACUUACCAAAACGCUUUCAUGCUCUUAGACUUGAUAAACUGGAUGACUGUAGUAGAUAAAGAAUUGGCUGGAUGGUCACACUCCAAGAGUUUUGGUAACAAUGGUAACUGGUUUGCCAGUCACCCCUGGGUUGAACUGAAAUUCAAAGAAAGGAUAAAAGAAGACUCAAGGUGUAAAUACAAACUUCAAAGCAAGGUAAAU